rnacentral:lncRNA from 10 species
UUUGGGUGGGGACACAGCCAAACUACAUCAACAACUUUACAUGGUUAUAGAUAUUUUUGUUUAUAACAACAACACACACACGUGCGCACCCCUAUAAGUUGAGAGGGCAGAGAAAGUGACAGUAAGAGCAUCCUGGCUGUCAAGGCAUAUUAUGCAGACAACAUCUGUCUAUCAAAAAUCACAAGCCAGCCACGGUGGUGUUUUCUUGGGGUUCCAGCUACUCCAGAGGCUGAGCACAGGUACAUGCAACCAUGCCCGGCUAAUUUUUGUAUUUUUUUUUUUUAUAGCGACGAGUUUUCGCCAUUUUUCCCAGGCUGGUCUCAAACUCUUGGGCUCAAGCGAUCCACCCACCUCGGCCUCCCAAAGUGCUGGAAUUACAGAUGUGAGCCACCACGCCUGGCCAAGA